AUUGAACGCUGGCGGCAGGCCUAACACAUGCAAGUCGAGCGGAUGAAGGGAGCUUGCUCCUGGAUUCAGCGGCGGACGGGUGAGUAAUGCCUAGGAAUCUGCCUGGUAGUGGGGGAUAACGUCCGGAAACGGGCGCUAAUACCGCAUACGUCCUGAGGGAGAAAGUGGGGGAUCUUCGGACCUCACGCUAUCAGAUGAGCCUAGGUCGGAUUGGCUAGUUGGUGGGGUAAAGGCCUACCAAGGCGACGAUCCGUAACUGGUCUGAGAGGAUGAUCAGUCACACUGGAGCUGAGACACGGUCCAGACUCCUGCGGGAGGCAGCAGUGGGGAAUAUUGGACAAUGGGCGAAAGCCUGAUCCAGCCAUGCCGCGUGUGUGGAGAAGGUCUUCGGAUUGUAAAGCACUUUAAGUUGUGAGGAAGGGCAGUAAGUUAAUACCUUGCUGUUUUGACGUUACCAACAGAAUAAGCACCGGCUAACUUCGUG
rnacentral:rRNA from 1 species